CCCAGGGGAAGAAGAAGGAAAAAAAAAAAAAAAGCAACAGACCCAGCAAACUGUGCUUACCGGUAUUUAUAAGCAUUUUGCUCCACUGCAAUUUACACUGACAGUUGAUUAACCGAAAGCUCUGCUAAUUCUGCGGCUCCAGAAGCCAUGCCUAUAAUACACACAAGACUUUGUUUCAAAUCAGUUUUUCAGUUGAGGAGGAAUUCAAACUCAGGAAAAGAAGAGGAAUUUACAUUUGACCACAAAGACCGGAGAGGUCUUUGCACACGUUUCUUAAGGGAAAGACAUUUAGGAACUUGGAAACGUUUAUGCCCUAUAAUCAUAGAAUGUGAGGAGCAGCCAGGCGUCUCUGAGGCCAGCAAGGUUAAUGACAUGAUUUUGGAGAUGAGAAAAUUGAGGCCAGAGAAAUCAAAUGACUCAUCCACAUCUGGGACAGGCCAAAGCAGGCACAGGGAUAAAGAACAACUGUUGAGAGAUGGAACUUGCAGCCCAGAUCCUUGGCCGGAGCGUCCCAGCGCUCUGCUUCAUCCAGUCCCAGCUGAUCAGAGUUUCAGCAAAGAGAGAACAUGCUUUCUUAACGGUACACAUGUUCGCUGAGAGUGGAGGAGGGGGGAUGAAGGAGAAGCAAGUUUUCCAUCUGAAAAGAACAUGAGCAUCUGCCUAGCAAUGAACUUCCCUGCUCUUGAACUUGUCAAUUCUUUUCCACCUCUUCAUUCAACACAAUUCAAAAGGCAUAACCUGAAAAAGGGCAUGAUGGAAAGAAGUACUGAGAUCCACUAAAGAAAAGGCACAAUAGUUAAUCAUCUCUUCUCUGGCAUCCUUCCUUCAACCCUACAAAAUAAACAAGUUGAGAAGUUCUUCAAUUUCUGUGACUGUAAGCGAUGUGGUGAAUUAAUGUUCCUAAAUGCUAGCACUGGGUAAAUGAAUUCAUUGUUGAGAAAGUUCUGGAUGAGCCAGUAGCCAAGUUAUUAAUUCCAUUAUAUAUCCUUGUUUGUGUCUGCUCUGGGAUAGAGAUGAGAGAGGAACAUUGUCAUGAAGAAACCCAUUAAAUAUACCUGCCUUUGUAAAAUCUUGCAUCUCAAACUAAAGUUGUACUAUGCUUUUCUUAAAGAACCCAAAAUUCUCAGUGGCCCUACCAAGAUAGGCAAUAAGUUUCUCAAAAAUCACAUUGGCACAUAGGUGCUUACAACUACUCAAUGAAUUUUUAACCAAUACGUAUCCACCUGGAAUUAAACCAAGAUGGACUCAUUAGAAGAGCUGUCAGGAUCGCUACCCAACAUGGUAACUCUCAGGACAGACAGUGGGAAGUCUCUAAAUGUCCCUUUGCAGGGCUUUCAAAGGGCUCAAUUCAGGUGUGGGAAACCUGUCUUUAAUAUUUUCAUUGCUGCUCCCAAUGUACUUCCAAUGUUAUUAAUUCACGUGCAGCAUUUCAUUAAAUGGGAUCCUCUUUGCAAA
rnacentral:lncRNA from 1 species